ACAAUUGCAGUAGUUCCUGUUAUCGCCAAGAAGAUGCUCAGUGCCAAGAUAGUGUUGUAGUGACUACCGUCCUCACAUCGACAGGGAACUAUGGGCCGAUGUUGACUGUUGCUCUUGCGCAGGGGGGCAG